rnacentral:misc_RNA from 1 species
GAUGAAGAACGCAGCGAAAUGCGAUAAGUAAUGUGAAUUGCAGAAUUCAGUGAAUCAUCGAAUCUUUGAACGCACAUUGCGCCCGCCAGUAUUCUGGCGGGCAUGCCUGUUCGAGCGUCAUCACAACCCUCAGGCCCCCGGGCCUGGCGUUGGGGAUCGGCGGAAGCCCCCUGCGGGCACAACGCCGUCCCCCAAAUACAGUGGCGGUCCCGCCGCAGCUUCCAUUGCGUAGUAGCUAACACCUCGCAACUGGAGAGCGGCGCGGCCACGCCGUAAAACACCCAACUUCUGAAUGUUGACCUCGAAUCAGGUAGGAAUACCCGCUGAACUUAAGCAUAUCAAUAAGCGGAGGA